rnacentral:misc_RNA from 1 species
GAUGAAGAACGUAGCGAAAUGCGAUAAGUAAUGUGAAUUGCAGAAUUCAGUGAAUCAUCGAAUCUUUGAAGGCACAUUGCGCCCGCUAGUAUUCUGGCGGGCAUGCCUGUCCGAGCGUCAUUUCAACCCUCAAGCCCCCGGGCUUGGUGUUGGGGAUCGGCGAGCCUCCGCGCCCGCCGUCCCCUAAAUCUAGUGGCGGUCUCGCUGUAGCUUCCUCUGCGUAGUAGCACACCUCGCACUGGGAAACAGCGCGGCCACGCCGUUAAACCCCCAACUUCUGAACGUUUGACCUCGGAUCAGGUAGGAAUACCCGCUGAACUUAAGCAUAUCAAUAAGCGGAGGA